rnacentral:rRNA from 2 species
CGCUUUGCGCGACAGCGCAAAGGCAGGCGGUUUCGCGUAGCGAAAGCGAAUGCUUUGGGGUGGGGUGACUGCGUACCUUUUGUAUAAUGGGUCAGCGACUUAUAUUCUGUAGCAAGGUUAACCGAAUAGGGGAGCCGGAGGGAAACCGAGUCUUAAUUGGGCGUUAAGUUGCAGGGUAUAGACCCGAAACCCGGUGAUCUAGCCAUGGGCAGGUUGAAGGUUGGGUAACACUAACUGGAGGACCGAACCGACUAAUGUUGAAAAAUUAGCGGAUGACCUGUGGCUGGGGGUGAAAGGCCAAUCAAACCGGGAGAUAGCUGGUUCUCCCCGAAAGCUAUUUAGGUAGCGCCUCGUGAAUUCAUCUCCGGGGGUAGAGCACUGUUUCGGCUAGGGGGCCAUCCCGGCUUACCAACCCGAUGCAAACUGCGAAUACCGGAGAAUGUUAUCACGGGAGACACACGGCGGGUGCUAACGUCCGUCGUGAAGAGGGAAACAACCCAGACCGCCAGCUAAGGUCCCAAAGUCAUGGUUAAGUGGGAAACGAUGUGGGAAGGCCCAGACAGCCAGGAUGUUGGCUUAGAAGCAGCCAUCAUUUAAAGAAAGCGUAAUAGCUCACUGGUCGAGUCGGCCUGCGCGGAAGAUGUAACGGGGCUAAACCAUGCACCGAAGCUGCGGCAGCGACACUGUGUGUUGUUGGGUAGGGGAGCGUUCUGUAAGCCUGUGAAGGUGUGUCGUGAGGCAUGCUGGAGGUAUCAGAAGUGCGAAUGCUGACAUAAGUAACGAUAAAGCGGGUGAAAAGCCCGCUCGCCGGAAGACCAAGGGUUCCUGUCCAACGUUAAUCGGGGCAGGGUGAGUCGACCCCUAAGGCGAGGCCGAAAGGCGUAGUCGAUGGGAAACGGGUUAAUAUUCCCGUACUUGGUGUUACUGCGAAGGGGGGACGGAGAAGGCUAUGUUGGCCGGGCGACGGUUGUCCCGGUUUAAGCGUGUAGGUGUGUGUUCCAGGUAAAUCCGGUUCACUUUAACACUGAGGCGUGACGACGAGGCACUACGGUGCUGAAGCAACAAAUGCCCUGCUUCCAGGAAAAGCCUCUAAGCAUCAGGUAACAUCAAAUCGUACCCCAAACCGACACAGGUGGUCAGGUAGAGAAUACCAAGGCGCUUGAGAGAACUCGGGUGAAGGAACUAGGCAAAAUGGUGCCGUAACUUCGGGAGAAGGCACGCUGACACGUAGGUGAAGUGAUUUACUCAUGGAGCUGAAGUCAGUCGAAGAUACCAGCUGGCUGCAACUGUUUAUUAAAAACACAGCACUGUGCAAACACGAAAGUGGACGUAUACGGUGUGACGCCUGCCCGGUGCCGGAAGGUUAAUUGAUGGGGUCAGCGCAAGCGAAGCUCCUGAUCGAAGCCCCGGUAAACGGCGGCCGUAACUAUAACGGUCCUAAGGUAGCGAAAUUCCUUGUCGGGUAAGUUCCGACCUGCACGAAUGGCGUAAUGAUGGCCAGGCUGUCUCCACCCGAGACUCAGUGAAAUUGAACUCGCUGUGAAGAUGCAGUGUACCCGCGGCAAGACGGAAAGACCCCGUGAACCUUUACUAUAGCUUGACACUGAACAUUGAGCCUUGAUGUGUAGGAUAGGUGGGAGGCUUUGAAGUGUGGACGCCAGUCUGCAUGGAGCCGACCUUGAAAUACCACCCUUUAAUGUUUGAUGUUCUAACGUGGACCCGUUACCCGGGUUGCGGACAGUGUCUGGUGGGUAGUUUGACUGGGGCGGUCUCCUCC